UACGUAGGUGGCAAGCGUUGUCCGGAUUUACUGGGCGUAAAGAGCGCGCAGGCGGUCGGAUAAGUCGAAUGUGAAAGCCCCCGGCGCAACUGGGGAGGGUCAUUCGAUACUGUUCGACUCGAAGGCAGGAGAGGGAAGUGGAAUUCCCGGUGUAGUGGUGAAAUGCGUAGAUAUCGGGAGGAACACCAGUGGCGAAGGCGACUUCCUGGCCUGUUCUUGACGCUGAGGCGCGAAAGCUAGGGGAGCAAACGGG
rnacentral:rRNA from 1 species